ensembl:lncRNA
ACCAAAGCGAGCGUGGCUUGCAUGCAUAACACCAAAACAAGUAGCGAUGAAUACCAACUGUUUAUCGUCUAACAAAUGUGUAAAUACGGUCCCAUCGCCGUAGAGAAGGAAACAAACACACACGGAUAAGGACAGGCCCUCUGUCUCCAUUUUCUCAGACGAUUCCUCCUCCUCCUCCACCACCACCUCCGCCUGCUCCUCUCGCUUGGUGCUGGGGUGAAUGGUGGGUCCAUGGGGUGAGCAGUAAAUGGCUGAGGAGCUGUGCACUGGCUGGUUUCGCAUCAUCGCAGAGCAAGAGGGAGAGAGAGAGAUUACCAGUCAACCGUUCUCCUGGGCCAUAGUGUCAGGAGAUUAAGGCUGCACGUCAUGUGACUCCACUCAACUCCAGGCAUUGGCUGAGGCCAGCUGUGACCUCAGCAAACCCUACCCACAUUCCCGCUCCCCUCCACACACGCGUAUAUACACAUACACCUCCCCCUCCCCUCUCCCUCUCUGCCCCUCCCCUUUUUCAUCCCCUCACAAACGCGCAGACACACACACACACACACACAUUUCUCAGCAUCCUGGGGCUGGAGGUUGGACGAGCAGUAGCAGCAUCCAUGGCUUAAGCUCUGAUCAGCAGCUAGCCCAGCCUGCACCCACCCCCACCCUCU